AGUGAACGCUGGCGGUAGGCCUAACACAUGCAAGUCGAACGGCAGCACAGUAAGAGCUUGCUCUUACGGGUGGCGAGUGGCGGACGGGUGAGGAAUACAUCGGAAUCUACUUUUUCGUGGGGGAUAACGUAGAGAAACUUACGCUAAUACCGCAUACGACCUACGGGUGAAAGCAGGGGAUCUUCGGACCUUGCGCGAUUGAAUGAGCCGAUGUCGGAUUAGCUAGUUGGCGGGGUAAAGGCCCACCAAGGCGACGAUCCGUAGCUGGUCUGAGAGGAUGAUCCGCCCCACCUGAACUGAGACCCGGUCCCGACUCCUACGGGAGGCCGCCGUGGGGAAUAUUGGACAAUGGGCGCAAGCCUGAUCCAGCCAUACCGCGUGGGUGAAGAAGGCCUUCGGGUUGUAAAGCCCUUUUGUUGGGAAAGAAAAGCAGCAGGUUAAUACCCCGCUGUUCUGACGGUACCCAAAGAAUAAGCACCGGCUAACUUCGUG
rnacentral:rRNA from 1 species